rnacentral:rRNA from 1 species
AUGGACCAGGAGGUGCAGCCGGACUUGGUGUGUGCUGCGACCAUGGAGGACAAGGAGAAGGAGGCGAUGAUCCAUCACUGUAGGAUGGGCCAUGUAUCUUUCGAUAAGAUGAGUAGAAUCUUUCCGGAUGUUAUGUGUGGGAUAGGCAAGGGCAAGUUGACAUGUGAUGCUUGCGAAUAUGCCAAACACACACGAGCCUCAUAUGUGAGUAAGGGGCUUAGGAGCAUAUCUCCUUUUAUGCUUAUUCAUUCGGAUGUAUGGAAGAGCCCAGUUGUAUCAAUGAAUGGAAUGAAAUACUUUGUUACAUUCAUCGAUUGCUAUUCUCGUAUGACUUGGAUUUAUUUGAUGCGUCACAAAGACGAGGUGUUUAGCUGUUUUCAGAAUUUCCAUGCCUUGGUGAAGAAUCAGUUUCAGGUGCAGGUGCAGGUGAUCAGGACUGACAAUGGGACAGAGUAUGUGAACAACACAUUUGGGGCUUACUUGUUUGAUCAAGGUAUUCUUCAUCAAACUUCAUGCCCAGACACCCCUCCUCAGAAUGGAGUGGCAGAAAGGAAAAAUCGGCAUAUUCUUGAGGUUGCCCGGUCAUUGAUGUUUACGAUGAAUGUGCCCAAAUUCUUGUGGGGUGAAGCAGUUAUGACAGCCACAUACUUGAUCAACAGGACACCAUCAAGAAUACUAAGCAUGAAAUCUCCGUGUGAGCUAGUAUAUGGAGCUAGUAUAUGGAGAAACUAA